CUGCAGUACAAUCUGAAGAAAUAAAAUUUAUUAACUCACGCUAAUUCGAGCUCUAGGAUAACAAGACAAUAGUAAAUUACGAGGGCUCGGUAGAUAGGUACGUGAACACAGACAAAACUAUCUGCCUAAAGUAUAGAAGCACAGAAAAGGGAAUGACAACUGAAUAUUGCCAUUUGAACUGUAUCUCAAAAGGUGAGUAAAUAUUAAAAUUUG
rnacentral:lncRNA from 1 species